GAAAGGGUAAGAGCUGAGGGUGGCUGAGACUCGGGGUUGUUCAGGGCGGGGUGGGCUCUGGACCCAGGAGGCCUGGCACCCAGGUCAGGGCUCCAGGGGAGGCCAGAUGGGCGAAGGCCAAGAAGGGGCCGGGGCUGGUCAGGAAGGGCUCCUGGUGACCAGAGCACUUUGCGUGAGCCAGCGUGGGAGGAAGAGGAGCUCUACGGUGACUUUGAAGACUUGGAAACAGGGGACAUGCACAAGGGAAAAUCGGGCCCCGACACUCAGAAUGAAGAUAUAGAGAAACAAGGAAGAAAUUGACCCCGACGAAGAAGAAAGUGCCAAGAAAAAGCAUUUGGAUAAGAAGAGAAAAUUGAAGGAGAUGUUUGAUGCGGAAUAUGAUGAAGGAGAAAGCACAUAUUUUGAUGAUCUUAAAGGAGAAAUGCAGAAAGAAGCACAGCUGAAUCACGUAGAAUUUGAAGAUCAAGAUGAUGAAGCCAGAGUUCAGUAUGAUGGUUUUCGACCUGGGAUGUACGUCCGCGUUGAGAUUGAAAAUGUUCCCUGUGAAUUUGUGCAGAACUUUGACCCCCAUUACCCCAUUAUCCUGGGUGGCUUGGGCAACAGCGAGGGAAAUGUUGGACACGUGCAGAUGCGUCUGAAGAAACAUCGCUGGUAUAAGAAAAUCCUCAAGUCCCAAGAUCCAAUCAUAUUUUCUGUAGGGUGGAGGAGGUUUCAGACCAUCCUGCUCUAUUAUAUUGAAGACCACAAUGGAAGACAAAGGCUUCUAAAGUAUACCCCACAGCACAUGCAUUGUGGAGCAGCCUUUUGGGGUAAAAUAUGAUUACAAUAACUUGCCUAUUGCCGAGAUUAAACUUUACAGGCUGCGUUAUUUUAGCUUUGUGCUUUUCCUUUCAUAAAAUUCCACUCCUAAGAUGUUUCUGUUUUCUGGGAGCGGGGAGGUGGUUUGGAGUAUAUAUGUAAAUCUAUAUCCAAAUCUAAAUGUCCGUAUCCAGUAUGUUAAACUAGAAUCUAAAAUUUCUGGUUUGCUAUAUUUCUUUUUUUCCUUUUCCUUUAAGACCCUAUCACUCCACAGGGAACUGGUUUCUUGGCAAUACAGUCUGUCAGUGGCAUAAUGGUAACUAUCUUGGACAAUUUCUUUUACAGAUUGGUUUGAGAAAUAUAUCCUGAAUGUGGGUUAUUAUGUACAUGAGACUUUAAGUUGAAAAUUACUCAUUUUUAUUAUUAUAAAGUAAAUUUCCCUUUGCUUUUAA
rnacentral:lncRNA from 1 species